AGAGUUUGAUCAUGGCUCAGGAUGAACGCUGGCGGCGUGCCUAACACAUGCAAGUCGAGCGAUCUUCUUCGGAAGAGAGCGGCGGACGGGUGAGUAACGCGUGGGUAACCUGCCUCAUACACACGGAUAACAUACCGAAAGGUAUGCUAAUACAAGAUGAUAUAAGGGAUUCGCAUGGAUUUCUUAUCAAAGCUCCGGCGGUAUGAGAUGGACCCGCGUCUGAUUAGCUAGUUGGUAAGGUAACGGCUUACCAAGGCGACGAUCAGUAGCCGACCUGAGAGGGUGAUCGGCCACAUUGGAACUGAGACACGGUCCAAACUCCUACGGGAGGCAGCAGUGGGGAAUAUUGCACAAUGGGCGAAAGCCUGAUGCAGCAACGCCGCGUGAGCGAUGAAGGCCUUCGGGUCGUAAAGCUCUGUCCUCAAGGAAGAUAAUGACGGUACUUGAGGAGGAAGCCCCGGCUAACUACGUG
rnacentral:rRNA from 1 species